rnacentral:rRNA from 1 species
AUGUCAAGUUGGAAGUGAAAUCCUAUGGCUUAACCAUAGAACUGCUUCCAAAACUGGCAACCUAGAGUGAGGGAGAGGCAGAUGGAACUAGUGGUGUAGGGGUAAAAUCCGUAGAUAUCACUAAGAAUACCGAUUGCGAAGGCGAUCUGCUGGAACUCUACUGACGCUGAGGCAUGAAAGCGUGGGGAGCAAACAGGAUUAGAUACCCUGGUAGUCCACGCCCUAAACGAUGUACACUAGUUGUUGGAGUGCUAGUCACUUCAGUAAUGCAGCUAACGCAUUAAGUGUACCGCCUGGGGAGUACGGUCGCAAGAUUAAAACUCAAAGGAAUAGACGGGGACCCGCACAAGCGGUGGAGCAUGUGGUUUAAUUCGAAGAUACACGAAGAACCUUACCUAGCCUUGAUAUCCUUGGAAUCUCUCAGAGAUGAGAGAGUGCUAGUUUACUAGAGCCAAGUGACAGGUGCUGCACGGCUGUCGUCAGCUCGUGUCGUGAGAUGUUGGGUUAAGUCCCGCAACGAGCGCAACCCUCGUCCUUAGUUGCUAACAGUUCGGCUGAGCACUCUAAGGAGACUGCCUUCGUAAGGAGGAGGAAGGUGAGGACGACGUCAAGUCAUCAUGGCCCUUAUGGCUAGGGCUACACACGUGCUACAAUGGGGGGGACAAUAAGAUGCAAUACCGCGAGGUGGAGCAAAUCUUAAAACCCUCUCUC